GCCGGACGACGCGGCCCGGAGUGCGGAGCCGCCAGCAGCGCUGGAUAACGGCCGCAGCGACCGUCCGGACGGCGCCCGUCCACUCCGCGGGCUUCCCUGUCGCCGUUCGCUGAGCUGCCGGUCUUACAGCCUCAGUCAUUUAUAAUGGUUACCUCAGAUUCCCCAGCUGUGAUUAACGUUAAACCUAGGAGGUCAGAUGCUGUAAGUGAACAUGUUUAGUGCUGUGCCUGACAAAAGCAAGCAAUCAAAAUGGGACUUCCUUGAGGGCAGGCCUGUGUUGCAUCUGUUUCUCCACCACCUAGCCUGGAAUAUACUUCUUGGUGAAUUUUUGGAUGAAGCCAUUAAAUUAAUUGCUUGCCAUCAUGAGCAGAAGCAAGCGUGACAACAAUUUUUAUAGUGUAGAAAUUGGAGAUUCUACAUUCACAGUCCUGAAACGAUAUCAGAAUUUAAAACCUAUAGGCUCAGGAGCUCAAGGAAUAGUGUGUGCCGCUUAUGAUGCCAUUCUCGAAAGAAAUGUUGCAAUCAAGAAGCUAAGCCGGCCAUUUCAGAAUCAAACUCAUGCUAAGCGGGCCUACAGAGAGCUAGUUCUUAUGAAAUGUGUUAAUCACAAAA